rnacentral:rRNA from 1 species
CCUACGGGAGGCAGCAGUGGGGAAUAUUGCACAAUGGGCGCAAGCCUGAUGCAGCCAUGCCGCGUGUGUGAAGAAGGCCUUCGGGUUGUAAAGCACUUUCAGCGGGGAGGAAGGCGGUGAGGUUAAUAAUCUCAUCGAUUGACGUUACCCGCAGAAGAAGCACCGGCUAACUCCGUGCCAGCGGCCGCGGUAAUACGGAGGGUGCAAGCGUUAAUCGGAAUUACUGGGCGUAAAGCGCACGCAGGCGGUCUGUCAAGUCGGAUGUGAAAUCCCCGGGCUCAACCUGGGAACUGCAUUCGAAACUGGCAGGCUAGAGUCUUGUAGAGGGGGGUAGAAUUCCAGGUGUAGCGGUGAAAUGCGUAGAGAUCUGGAGGAACACCGGUGGCGAAGGCGGCCCCCUGGACAAAGACUGACGCUCAGGUGCGAAAGCGUGGGGAGCAAACAGGAUUAGAUACCCCUGUAGUC